CGGAAAAAACCUUAACCCGGGCUAGAGUUUGACCUGGCUCGUUACUUUGAUCAAGGUCGCCUAAGAGCGUGAUCCCUGCUUGGAAACUUGCCUUGAGGUGGGGGACAACAGUUGGAAACGACUGCUAAUACCGCAUAAUGUCUACGGACCAAAGGGGGCUUCUGCUCUCGCCUUUAGAUUGGCCCAAGUGGGAUUAGCUAGUUGGUGAGGUAAUGGCUCACCAAGGCGACGAUCCCUAGCUGGUUUGAGAGGAUGAUCGGCCACACUGGGACUGAGACACGGCCCAGACUCCUACGGGAGGCCGCAGUGGGGAAUAUUGCACAAUGGGCGCAAGCCUGAUGCAGCCAUGCCGCGUGUGUGAAGAAGGCCUUCGGGUUGGAAAGCACUUUCUGUCAGGAGGAAAGGUUAGAAGUUAAUACCUGCUAGCUGUGACGUUACUGACUGAAGAAGCACCGGCUAACUCCGUGCCAGCAGCCGCGGUAAUACGGAGGGUGCGAGCGUUAAUCGGAAUUACUGGGCGUAAAAGCGUACGCAGGCGGUUUGUUAAGCGAGAUGUGAAAGCCCCGGGCUCAACCUGGGAACUGCAUUUCGAACUGGCAAACUAAAGUGUGAUAGAGGGUGGAAAAAUUUCAGGUGUACCCUGAAAUGCGUAGAGAUCUGAAGGAAUACCGAUGGCGAAGGCAGCCACCUGGGGUCAACACUGACCCUCUUGUACAAAGCGUGGGGAGCAACAGGAAUAGAAUACCCUGGUAAUCCACGCCGUAACGAUCUCUACUAAAAGCUCGGAGCCUCGGCUCUGUUUUCUACGCUAACGCAUUAGUAGACCGCCUGGGGAGUACGGCCCGCAGGUUAAAACUCAAAUGAACUGACAGGAAGCCGACGCAACCGUGCACCUGUGGUUUUAUUUCUAUGCAAUGCAAAAACCUUACCUACACUUGACAUAGG
rnacentral:rRNA from 1 species